rnacentral:rRNA from 1 species
CAUGGAGGGUGAGAAUCCCGUCCGGUUGAUCAGAUUCGCUUUACGAUACGCUUUCUAAGAGUCAAGUUGUUUGGGAUUGCAGCUUAAAAUGGGAGGUAAAUUUCUCCUAAGGCUAAAUAACGGCGAGAGACCGAUAGCGAACAAGUACCGUGAGGGAAAGAUGAAAAGAACUUUGAAAAGAGAGUUAAAUAGUACGUGAAAUUGUUGAAAGGGAAACGAUUGAAGCCAGUCGUACCUUCGGGUAAUCAGCCUUUCGGGUGCGAUUAUGUGGAGUGUGAGGAGCUUAAACACCUUCAUGUUUUGCAUAUUCGUACUCUUGGGUGUACUUGCCCGUGUGGUUGGUUAACAUCAAUUUUGGUGGUCAUAAAAUGACUGGAGGAAUGUAGCUUCGAUCUCGUAUUGAAGUGUUAUAGCCUUCGGUAGAUGUGAUGAUCGAGAUUGAGGAUUGCAACGGAUACCCUUCGGGGCUACCUGUCUGGUCUCUGAUCGUUGCUCUGGUGCCGAAAGCUUGCUUACGGUAAUCAAAGUCGAUGGUCAAUAGGUUAGAACGGGUUAAAUUCGUUAAGGAUGUUGACGUAAUGG